UGGUGAAGUGAUUUGUCUGGUUAAUUCCGAUAACGAACGAGACCUUAACCUGCUAACUGGUUUGCUCAACGUUCGCGUUGGCCAACACUUCUUAGAGGGACUGACUAUGUUUAAUAGUCGGAAGUUUGAGGCAAUAACA
rnacentral:rRNA from 1 species